UGGCUACACCAGCGUAUUAGUUGUAUGUGUGCGUGUGUAUUGUAUGCGUGUGAUGUAAGGUCAUUCGCGUGAAAAUAUCAGCGAGGAAAAAAUCGAAUUUUUGUGUUUUGUGUGCUAGGUAAUUUCCAAAAAGUGUGCAAAAUCAAGAAGUUUAAUCAAAUGCCAGUGCAUCAGCGGUGGAUGUGUGUAUAUUAACAAGCGGUGAAGAUGUGAAAAAUUGUCAAGAAAUCGAAGGUGCUUGGUUGCCCAACGCAAAAAUUAUGACGAAAAGCACCACAGUACUCCUCUCGUGCACACACACACAUGUGCUUAUUCGCAUACUCUUGCAUGGCAAGAGGGAGCUUGGAGAGCUAGAACCGAACCUAGAGUUGUCAACGCUGUGCAAAGAAUUUCGUCAUUGAGAAGAAGAGUGUGUGUGUGCAUGUAUGUGUGUGUUUUGUGCGUGCCUCGUUACAGUGUAUGUGUGCGUGAUUGCGUGCGUGUGUGUUGGUAGUUUGUUCUCUUUGGUAGUAAAACACAAAAGAAAAAUCAUCUCGACAGAAAAAUGUGAAAAAUGUACAUAAUUCCGUAUCUCAAGUAUGCAGCCAGUGCCCGCCCCCCUGCCCAUACCCACCCCAAAUCAAAUUGAGAUGAAACACCGCGCCACCGAUUGAAAAACUAUUACAUAAAUAGUGCAAAGUGUAAAUGUUAUUGAAGGCAAAAAAAAAGCGCCGCCGCGCACGCUGUCGUCAUCGCCUAGUAAAAAAAGAGAAAUAAAGAAAGAGAAGAAGAAAGGAGAAGAGGAAGAGCCGCCCCCACUAAGUACCGCUAGCCAGCCAGGCAGCGAGCGGCCGAAAGAAAACGCGUUACUUAUUUUCGCGAAAAAUACCAAUUGCUUGUGCCUCCCAGUCUGCAUACAUAUGUACAUAAAUAUAUGUAUAAGUGAUGUUUGAUGUAAAAAUCGAUGAAUUAUUGACCAUAUAAUGUGGAAAAUAAACUAAUAAUAUUUGCCAUGCUUGUGCGGUGAAUUGGUUGUGGGGAGAGGUAGGGGACAGUGAAAAGGAGCGGUGGAAUAGUGCGGGUGGGUGCGCCUGUGUGAGUGACCUCGCGUACAUGUGUCGCGUGCCUGCGCUGGUGUUGAUGUGUGUGAGUGUGCGGUGGCAAGGAGUGUCAUGCGUAUAUUUUACUGCCCCCCUGUUUCUACUACUUCCCCCCUGCUGACCCACUGGCUAAGCCUAUCGACAACCACAGAGAAGCAGCAGAGGCAGUGCUCCAUUUGCUCCAGCGAGUUUUAUCUUGUUUUCUCCAUUUUAAUCAUAUGCGGGCCCAGAGGAGAGACAACGACAAUCACGUCAUCCAGCCUGCGCCAUGACACACCAACAUCAACAUCCGCACAGUGAAUAAUAAAAGCUAAAGAAAGGCUUUGAACAGGUUUUGCCUACCAUUGAGAAAUUCUAUUUUCUAUCCGCGUAGUACGGAAAAUGACAUUGCCUAUCUUUGGGUCCCAGCAAAUAUUACAAAAUCAUGAAUUACAUGUUUCACAAAAGCCUGGUUUUACUGUACUCAACAUCAAUGACCAAACAACACACACGCAAACAAACACACACACGUGUGCACUAUAAAGUCAUUUGAAUGAACUUUUAUUGGCCCAGUGCCUCAACGGCAGGGAGCCUGGCGGCAAUGGGGGAUUGGGAUUGGGACUGGGAGGCCUUCCUCUUCUGUUGGCAUGCGUGAAUUUGAUUGCUGUUUCGAACGCCAUACAUAUACAGGCUUAGUAUAUGUAAUUAAACCAAUUAAAUAAGUUUAAUUCAGUUAAAUUCUCACUUAUUAAUACUUGCUCAGGCUCCACAUCCGACCGAGCUCUCCCUCCCACGUUCUAUCUAUCUGGCAAGGCAGAGCAUCGUUUGCGUGUGUGUGUGUUAGUAGGCUGUGAGUGUGAGAAAGAGAGCAAAUAAACUGAGUCAUGGCUGACGAUGACGUUAUGCUGCUUAGCUGUGGUUAAAAGCAAUUUGUCUCCAAAGUGUUUAUGCUCUAAGUUUGCCAAUAAAGAAUGGCGAAAAAAGUUUCCUAGAAAUGUGUUCAACACAUAUACCCAAGCACACUUCCAUUCGAUUGACCUCGAAGCAGCUGGAAAGCAAAUCGAUAGUAUUGUUCGAUCGAUAACAUGUCACGCCGCUUUCUCUUGCCCACUACCUUUGCCUCUGCGCUGUCUGUCUCUCCCUCUCUCUCUCUAUCUCUUCUGUAUUACGGCACACAGCUGAUUACGCUGCCGCACAUUUUUUAAUUUUUCUCGCUAAAGUUGUAAAAAUAAAUCUAGUUGAAGACGACUUUAUGUGUAUUCUGGCUGUUCGUCUUUUGUUCCGAUAGCCGUACGAAAUUAGCAAAGUUCCCUGCUCAAUAGGAAAACAUGUAUAAACCAAACAGAACUGCUUGAAACUGCUUGCAGGUCGAAGCACUGGUCAGUUGUGGUAGCGUACAUAAUUAUUGUUUGUAUAAAGUACUGCAUUGAGGCAUGCUUUAUCUUAAUGUGAUAUGAUUCUUGUCACUGCCUUCUGCUGCUGCCCAGCACGUCGCCUUCGGACAAACAAAAACGUUUCAGCUGAGACUCUAUCUUCUUCUGAUUGUUUGUCCACCCGCUUUGCUGUAGUUUUCAGCCGCAAUACGAAACUUAAGGCUAGAGAUAACUGUGAUCCAGGCUAGGCUGCCUGUCCUUAUCAGUAUCCGAAGACGUCAUGCGGCGGAACAGCAAAAUCUAACCGAAAUGUUUUUACAACGAUCCACACAUCAAUUUGCUUGCAAUUACUGGAAGUAUAAAGACAAUUGAGUGGAUGGUGUACUGUCCAAAUGGUAUUGCUUUUUGGAUAAGGGUUUUCCUCUUUAGAUUGCUUGACUAUUUCUUAAGCGUAGCACUGAAACUCAGAUAAUUUCUCUAGAAGUCACUCAAAACAACCCCUUCAAUGCUUACAAACUGCUUUUGUACACAAAUUGUGGAUCACCUGUGUAAUGCAGGUUAUUACUGUUAUUUGCCUGGGUUUCGCCAUUUUGUGUAACAAUCCCUAAUCGGGCCUGGUCAAGAUAACGGUCCGCCCCAACUAUUAAGAUAAGGCUCUCAAGUACAAUCCACUCACCAACAUACACACUCGAACACAAACACACACAUAGACAUCGCUGUCGCAGCGGCCGAUUUCGGACAGAAGCAGCAACGCGAGGAGGAGGCUACUCUCUCACGCCUGGUCAUGUGCGGCAUUCAUUCCGUUGCUCCAAUCCGUUGCGUUCGCUCGCUCGUUCCGUUCCGUUCCGUUCGUUCGCUAGUUCGUUCGUUCAUCUCUGUUUCCCUUGUGUGUCCGCUGGCCAUAGUUUUGGGCCGAUUUUGUAGUGUAACUGUUUUGAAGACAUAAAAUUAAAACCGAACGAAGCACACAACAGAAUAGAGGAAUACGAAAAGUACAACUUCUUUCUAUUUUAUUUUGCGAAAAUACAUAGGCUUAACGAAAUUAAGAAGAGCUGGAAGGAAUAGCUGAUUAAAUAAUUAAAUAGGAAACAAAAUUCGAGUUGAAUUAGCAAAACACAAAAAGGAGAC